rnacentral:rRNA from 1 species
UACGAAGGGGGCUAGCGUUGUUCGGAAUUACUGGGCGUAAAGCGUGCGCAGGCGGCUUCCCAAGUCAGUGGUGAAAGCCCGGAGCUCAACUCCGGAAAUGCCAUUGAAACUGUGAAGCUCGAGAACGAGAGAGGUGAGUGGAAUUCCGGGUGUAGCGGUGGAAUGCGUAGAGAUCCGGAAGAACACCGGUGGCGAAGGCGGUCUGCUGGGCAGUUGCUGGACACUGAUGCGCGACAGCGUGGGGAGCAAACAGGAGUUAGAU